ACAACAGCCGCUCAGUCCGGACCAACACACACCGUCACCGCGUGUGGGCAGGAUUUUACCGGGAUCUACGGGUUUGCACCGGGUUUCUGACCAUCUGGAUAUUUACGGUCUGACUCCGGUAAAGUUCAGACACGUCUCACCGCUUCUCAAACUCAAACGGCAGCUGAUUCAGACGCGGUGGAUUAUCGGUGGAUGCUCCGUGGAUGCUCGCCGGUGUACGUGUCCGCACCGGGGCUGUCAUCGGCGGAGCGGCGCCUUCUGACGCGCAAAAGCGAAACGAGAUCCAGGCGUCUCCGUGAGUGCGACGACGAAGAGGGAAAUGGAACCGACCGAUUGGAUUUAAUGUGGGAGUGAUACCGGCUGGAGUACCGGACGGACAGACCGACGGAAACACGGACGGAAGCAGCGACAGAAACAGACAGACACACCGACUGAAACACCGACUACACCAGGAAUGGCCCUGGACGUCCGUCAACAGUCGGCUGUGUUCGUCAUAUCAGCUGAUACCAGCGCCUCUGUUUCUGUUCCUGUCUGCGUGGGAGUGGGAGAAGUGGAGGCUGUGAUCAGUCAACCUGUGGCACAGAGACAGCACCCAGAAGGU